GCAGAAUCAAGGCCAAAGGUAAGAAUGCAAGGACUGAUAAGACUGCUGAUGGCAUGUCAGAAAGUCACAGGAGUCCCAGAGGAGUGCGGAAAGACAGACGUCUGUUGCAACAACAGCCUGGCAAUAAAGAGCACAGGCUAAAGGAUACGCUCAUUGGGAAACUUUGGGAAAACUUAGGAAAGAGACAAGAAACAGUAAGAGCCUGUGAGAGAGUCAGACAUUUUCUUUUGGGCAAUGGGAAGCCUGGAGAGCGCCGGAGCAGAAGUUAG
rnacentral:lncRNA from 1 species